CUGCCCGGGAGCAGAGUCCAGCCCAGCCUGCCCAGUGUUCAGACUACCUGUUCAGGAGCAUAUGAAGUUGUACAGUAGUCUGCACAUUGGUUAGAUCGGGCUUGGCAUAGCGACGCCUUGGCA
rnacentral:pre_miRNA from 14 species